rnacentral:rRNA from 1 species
GAUGAACGCUGGCGGCGUGCCUAAUACAUGCAAGUCGAGCGACCGGACGGGAAGCUUGUUCCCUUAAUGUUAGCGGCGGACGGGUGAGUAACCCUUGGAUAACCUACUUAUAAGACUGGGAUAAUUUCGGGAAACCGGAGCUAAUACCGGCUAAUAUUUUGAACCGCAUGGUUCAAAAGUGAAAGACGGUUUUCCUGUCACUUAUAGAUGGUUCCGCGCUGCAUUAGCUAGUUGGUAAGGUAACGGCUUACCAAGGCAACGAUGCAUAGCCGACCUGAGAGGGUGAUCGGCCACACUGGAACUGAGACACGGUCCAGACUCCUACGGGAGGCAGCAGUAGGGAAUCUUCCGCAAUGGGCGAAAGCCUGACGGAGCAACGCCGCGUGAGUGAUGAAGGUCUUCGGAUCGUAAAACUCUGUUAUUAGGGAAGAACAUAUGUGUAAGUAACUGUGCACAUCUUGACGGUACCUAAUCAGAAAGCCACGGCUAACUACGUG